rnacentral:misc_RNA from 1 species
UUUCCGUAGGUGAACCUGCGGAAGGAUCAUUACUGAGUGAGGGCCCCUCGGGGUCCAACCUCCCACCCGUGUUUAACGAACCUUGUUGCUUCGGCGGGCCCGCCUCACGGCCGCCGGGGGGCAUCUGCCCCCGGGCCCGCGCCCGCCGAAGCCACCUGUGAACGCUGUCUGAAGUAUGCAGUCUGAGACAAUUACUAAAUUAAUUAAAACUUUCAACAACGGAUCUCUUGGUUCCG